rnacentral:lncRNA from 1 species
GUUGGUGUUAGGAUUUGGUUAGAUUUGUAGUUGAAUCCUAAUUGGAUUAGGAUUAAUAUUUAAAUCUAUUAGAGAUAAAUUAGGAUUUAUUUAAAUAUUAAUUAGAGCAGAAAUCUAAUUGUAUUAAAAUUUGGGUAGCUUUUAAUAUAAGCUAUAAAUAUAGCAUAUGUGCUAUUAUGGUGAUGGUGGUAGUGGUACGUAGUCACACCCAUAUGGUAUGGCCAAGGUGGUCAUGAUUUUGAAUGCAUCUAAUGCAUGAAUGCAAAAGGACGUGAGCGGCUUUCGUAGCCAUAGGUCAUUGGUAUACCUUAUGCGCAGGUGCACAGGAUGAGAGAGAUAUCUUCUGAGACUAUAGAAGAUGAGAGAAGGAUAGGAGAGAUUCAAAAAAGAGGGCUCGGAGUUGUAACUACUCAGUUAUAGAAGAGGAAUCAGGUGUAAUAUUCUUUUAUUUAACGAAUCUUAUUUUACGGGCAUAUUUUCUAUAAUUGGUUGUUCUUUCUCUCUUUUAUGAUUGUGCCAGCUUCUGUUGAGGAGACGGAUUUAUGAUAAAAUCUGAUUUGAAGCUUCUGUCGCGGAAUCCCAACAAUCGGUACCGGAUCAACAACAGUUGAUAUCGGAGCGGGUUGCGAAUUCUCAAAAUUCGGUACCGAGGCGAGUACGGAAUUUCCAACAAUUGGUAUCAGAGAUAAAGAUUACCGAUCUUUGGGAGAGAUCGACGUCAAAAUAUUGGAUUAUCGAUCUUUGUAGAAGAU